ACGAUUUAGAACUGAUACAGCGAUUCUAUGACGAAUUCUUUGGACACAAUUCAACGAUAUCAAGACAUUCACAUGAAAUUGAACUACCUAGAGUAACGUCUGAUGAUGAAAAUGAUGACAAUCAAGUGGCAUCAGAAAAUGUAAAUGAUCAUGUUAUCUCGGAACAUGAUGAUGACAUACCAAUAGUAGAAUCAUGCGACACAUUAGCGACUGGCUGCGAUUGUACUUCUAUGUGCAUGGACUCUAUUGACCGUGAAGCUGCCCAAGCCCAUAUUGACAAUAUAAGGCAGUAUACAAAGGAAGAAAAUGACUUAUAUAUAAUGGGAGCAUUAAACCGGAUUAAUUCAGAUAAAAAACGAAGCCGGUAUGGUGAUCGUCAGCGUACGCGAUACGACUAUAAGUUUGAGGGUAAUGUUGUUUGUAAGAAAACAUUCAUGUGUGUGUAUGACAUCGGCCCAACUCAU